rnacentral:rRNA from 1 species
GACGUAGGAAGCAAGCGUUGUCCGGAUUUACUGGGCGUAAAGAGCGCGCAGGCGGUCGUUCAAGUCGAGUGUGAAAGCCCCCGGCUCAACUGGGGAGGGUCACUCGAUACUGAUCGACUCGAAGGCAGGAGAGGGAAGUGGAAUUCCCGGUGUAGUGGUGAAAUGCGUAGAUAUCGGGAGGAACACCAGUGGCGAAGGCGACUUCCUGGCCUGUUCUUGACGCUGAGGCGCGAAAGCUAGGGGAGCAAACGGG